AGAACGAACGCUGGCGGCAUGCCUAAUACAUGCAAGUCGAACGAACACUUCGGUGUUAGUGGCGCACGGGUGCGUAACGCGUGGGAAUCUGCCCUUGGGUUCGGAAUAACAGUUGGAAACGACUGCUAAUACCGGAUGAUAUCGAAAGAUCAAAGAUUUAUCGCCCAGGGAUGAGCCCGCGUAGGAUUAGCUAGUUGGUGAGGUAAAGGCUCACCAAGGCGACGAUCCUUAGCUGGUCUGAGAGGAUGAUCAGCCACUCUGGGACUGAGACACGGCCCAGACUCCUACGGGAGCAGCAGUAGGGAAUAUUGGACAAUGGGCGCAAGCCUGAUCCAGCAAUGCCGCGUGAGUGAUGAAGCCUAGGGUUGUAAAGCUCUUUACCCGAGAUGAUAAUGACAGUAGUCGGGAGAAUAAGCCCCGGUCUAAACCGUCCGUGCUAGCACGCCGACGGUAAU
rnacentral:rRNA from 1 species